AUUGAACGCUGGCGGCAUGCCUUACACAUGCAAGUCGAACGGCAGCACGGGAGCAAUCCUGGUGGCGAGUGGCGAACGGGUGAGUAAUAUAUCGGAACGUGCCCAGUCGUGGGGGAUAACGCAGCGAAAGCUGUGCUAAUACCGCAUACGAUCUAUGGAUGAAAGCGGGGGACUCGCAAGAGCCUCGCGCGAUUGGAGCGGCCGAUAUCAGAUUAGCUAGUUGGUGGGGUAAAAGCCCACCAAGGCGACGAUCUGUAGCUGGUCUGAGAGGACGACCAGCCACACUGGAACUGAGACACGGUCCAGACUCCUACGGGAGGCAGCAGUGGGGAAUUUUGGACAAUGGGCGAAAGCCUGAUCCAGCAAUGCCGCGUGCAGGACGAAGGCCUUCGGGUUGUAAACUGCUUUUGUACGGAACGAAACGGUCUGCCCUAAUACGGUGGGCUAAUGACGGUACCGUAAGAAUAAGCACCGGCUAACUACGUG
rnacentral:rRNA from 1 species